rnacentral:rRNA from 1 species
CCUACGGGGGGCAGCAGUAGGGAAUAUUGCUCAAUGGGGGAAACCCUGAAGGAGCAACGCCGCGUGGAGGAUGAAGGUUUUCGGAUUGUAAACUCCUUGUGGUAGAGAAGAGAAGGACGGUAUCUAACGAAUAAGCACCGGCUAACUCCGUGCCAGCAGCCGCGGUAAUACGGAGGGUGCAAGCGUUACUCGGAAUCCCUGGGCGUAAAGAGCGCGUAGGCGGGUUAGCAAGUCAGAUGUGAUAUCCUAUGGCUUAACCAUAGAACUGCAUUUGAAACUGUUAUUCUAGAGUAUGGGAGCGGUCGGUGGAAUUCUUGGUGUAGGGGUCAAAUCCGU